rnacentral:rRNA from 1 species
UACGAAGGGUGCAAGCGUUAAUCGGAAUUACUGGGCGUAAAGGGUGCGUAGGCGGUUCGUUAAGUCUGUCGUGAAAGCCCUGGGCUCAACCUGGGAAUGGCAUUGGAUACUGGCGACCUAGAGUGCGGUAGAGGGUAGCGGAAUUCCCGGUGUAGCAGUGAAAUGCGUAGAUAUCGGGAGGAACAUCCGUGCGAAGGCGGCUACCUGGACCAGCACUGACACUGAGGCACGAAAGCGUGGGAGCAAACAGGG